GCCCUGGCAGUCAGAGGCGAUGAAGGACGUGCUAAUCUGCGAUAAGCGUCGGUAAGGUGAUAUGAACCGUUAUAACCGGCGAUUUCCGAAUGGGGAAACCCAGUGUGAUUCGUCACACUAUCAUUAACUGAAUCCAUAGGUUAAUGAGGCGAACCGGGGGAACUGAAACAUCUAAGUACCCCGAGGAAAAGAAAUCAACCGAGAUUCCCCCAGUAGCGGCGAGCGAACGGGGAGGAGCCCAGAGCCUGAAUCAGUGUGUGUGUUAGUGGAAGCGUCUGGAAAGGCGCGCGAUACAGGGUGACAGCCCCGUACACAAAAAUGCACAUGCUGUGAGCUCGAUGAGUAGGGCGGGACACGUGGUAUCCUGUCUGAAUAUGGGGGGACCAUCCUCCAAGGCUAAAUACUCCUGACUGACCGAUAGUGAACCAGUACCGUGAGGGAAAGGCGAAAAGAACCCCGGCGAGGGGAGUGAAAAAGAACCUGAAACCGUGUACGUACAAGCAGUGGGAGCACAGAGCAAUCUGUGUGACUGCGUACCUUUUGUAUAAUGGGUCAGCGACUUAUAUUCUGUAGCAAGGUUAACCGAAUAGGGGAGCCGAAGGGAAACCGAGUCUUAACUGGGCGUUAAGUUGCAGGGUAUAGACCCGAAACCCGGUGAUCUAGCCAUGGGCAGGUUGAAGGUUGGGUAACACUAACUGGAGGACCGAACCGACUAAUGUUGAAAAAUUAGCGGAUGACUUGUGGCUGGGGGUGAAAGGCCAAUCAAACCGGGAGAUAGCUGGUUCUCCCCGAAAGCUAUUUAGGUAGCGCCUCGUGAAUUCAUCUCCGGGGGUAGAGCACUGUUUCGGCAAGGGGGUCAUCCCGACUUACCAACCCGAUGCAAACUGCGAAUACCGGAGAAUGUUAUCACGGGAGACACACGGCGGGUGCUAACGUCCGUCGUGAAGAGGGAAACAACCCAGACCGCCAGCUAAGGUCCCAAAGUCAUGGUUAAGUGGGAAACGAUGUGGGAAGGCCCAGACAGCCAGGAUGUUGGCUUAGAAGCAGCCAUCAUUUAAAGAAAGCGUAAUAGCUCACUGGUCGAGUCGGCCUGCGCGGAAGAUGUAACGGGGCUAAACCAUGCACCGAAGCUGCGGCAGCGACACUAUGUGUUGUUGGGUAGGGGAGCGUUCUGUAAGCCUGUGAAGGUGUGCUGUGAGGCAUGCUGGAGGUAUCAGAAGUGCGAAUGCUGACAUAAGUAACGAUAAAGCGGGUGAAAAGCCCGCUCGCCGGAAGACCAAGGGUUCCUGUCCAACGUUAAUCGGGGCAGGGUGAGUCGACCCCUAAGGCGAGGCCGAAAGGCGUAGUCGAUGGGAAACAGGUUAAUAUUCCUGUACUUGGUGUUACUGCGAAGGGGGGACGGAGAAGGCUAUGUUGGCCGGGCGACGGUUGUCCCGGUUUAAGCGUGUAGGCUGGUUUUCCAGGCAAAUCCGGAAAAUCAAGGCUGAGGCGUGAUGACGAGGCACUACGGUGCUGAAGCAACAAAUGCCCUGCUUCCAGGAAAAGCCUCUAAGCAUCAGGUAACAUCAAAUCGUACCCCAAACCGACACAGGUGGUCAGGUAGAGAAUACCAAGGCGCUUGAGAGAACUCGGGUGAAGGAACUAGGCAAAAUGGUGCCGUAACUUCGGGAGAAGGCACGCUGAUAUGUAGGUGAAGCGACUUGCUCGUGGAGCUGAAAUCAGUCGAAGAUACCAGCUGGCUGCAACUGUUUAUUAAAAACACAGCACUGUGCAAACACGAAAGUGGACGUAUACGGUGUGACGCCUGCCCGGUGCCGGAAGGUUAAUUGAUGGGGUCAGCGCAAGCGAAGCUCUUGAUCGAAGCCCCGGUAAACGGCGGCCGUAACUAUAACGGUCCUAAGGUAGCGAAAUUCCUUGUCGGGUAAGUUCCGACCUGCACGAAUGGCGUAAUGAUGGCCAGGCUGUCUCCACCCGAGACUCAGUGAAAUUGAACUCGCUGUGAAGAUGCAGUGUACCCGCGGCAAGACGGAAAGACCCCGUGAACCUUUACUAUAGCUUGACACUGAACAUUGAGCCUUGAUG
rnacentral:rRNA from 1 species